CUUAGGUGGUGGUAGAGGUGUGGGCAGAAUAUCAGGAAAUGCUUCCCACAGGAAUUGAUGCGCAUGAGGAAUCCUGGAGAAUAAGAAGCACUGUUAUCAGCUGUGACAGAGCCCUUCCUGCCUCCUGUCUGCCAGCGUACUAGGGACCAUGCCUCUGUGAAGGACUCCAAUUUCUCUUUACAAGAAUCAACAUGGAGCAAACUCCAGUUGCCUACUGCCUAGCAUUCUUGCUAAGAUACGUAUGUAAAUAAAAUGUCUUUAUAUACCUGAGAAUUUA
rnacentral:lncRNA from 1 species